rnacentral:snoRNA from 1 species
CCCCAUCAGAUUCCUUACCCAUCAGAUGUAAACAUUGGUCUGAAUGGCUCUAAAGGAGGAAAAGUAAAACUGAAAUGGACUUGGAUUCUUUUGUGACAUACAAGUUUGUUUCAAACAAAC